ACUUAGAUCGGCUGCCAGGAAGCCAUAUUCACCGAGUGAUGUCUGCACAUUCACGGACACAGGAGAGCGAUGCUUGGGCUCUUUUAGCCCUAAAAUCGGCACCAGCUAGCCCUUCGAAGCUGCAAUGGAGUUCAGAAAGCAAAGGAACAGCAAUUGCUCGAUUAGAAGGGAGGGAAUUCGAAUAUAUGGUGCGACAGAAGAGGAUUACUAUUGGUCGGAACAGUUCGCGAGGCGAGGUCGAUGUAAACAUGGGACAUUCAAGUUUUAUUUCUAGAAAACAUAUAGAGAUUUUCUUCGAACAUCCGCAUUUUUAUAUGUCCUGCAGUGGGAAGAACGGCGUUUUUGUGGAUGGCGUUUUCCAAAGGAAAGGAGCGCCUUCGUUGCAGUUACCUAAAGCGUGUACUUUCCGGUUUCCAAGCACAAAUAUAAGGUUGUUUUUCCAGUCGCUUGUUGAUGAAGCAGAUCCUCCAGUAGCUGUACGGCAACUGUCUCCAACAAAACCACGUGCUCCCCUACCACCACUUAGAAUAAAUAUACCAGAUCCGGAUGCAAGUUUCAGCAGCCCAUUCCCUUCUCCAACAGGCACUAUUAGUGCUGCCAACUCGUGCCCAGCUAGUCCCCGAGGAAGCCAUGGAAAACGCAAUAUUAGUGCAGAUCUUCAGAUGGUGGCAGCGUAUGCAGCAGCAGCUGUUGCUAGUAGUGGCCCACAUUCAGUUGUUAAUACGGUCACUGUCGCUACAUCAAGCUGUGAUGAUAGGCCAGACAAUGGUUCCUCUAGUCAUAGUGGCCUUGCAGCCUUGACAUCAAGCCCAGAAAAUCAACACAGUUCUGGUGUGGACACCAUGGGGAAUGGCCACAAAGUGUACAGACAAGGUGGUCACAAUGGCACAACUACAUGUCCUCCACCAACUGUGGUCGAACCUUGCAGUCCACCAAAGGAUGAUACAAAACCACCAUAUUCAUAUGCCCAGCUAAUUGUACAAGCCAUUGCUUCAGCACCAGAUAAGCAACUAACACUUAGUGGUAUAUAUUCGUAUAUUACCAAAAACUAUCCUUAUUAUCGCACAGCUGACAAGGGUUGGCAAAACUCCAUCAGACACAAUCUCUCACUCAACCGAUAUUUUAUUAAAGUUCCACGUUCGCAAGAAGAACCGGGGAAAGGUUCUUUCUGGCGCAUUGAUCCACAGUCUGAAGCAAAACUGAUUGAACAAGCAUUUCGCAGAAGAAAACAGAGGGGAGUAUCCUGCUUUCGAGCACCCUUCGGUCUGUCUUCAAGGAGUGCCCCUGCUUCUCCAAGUCAUGUUGGUGUAAGUGGAUUGAUGACACCAGAGUCCCUUUCUCGAGAAGGCUCACCAGCACCAGAACAGUAUCCUGAAUGCUCUGUCCCAUCACCGGCAGUCCAUAGCUCACACCUAGAGGUCAAGACCAGCCAGUCAGCUCCUGGUUCUCCUGGAAACUCUGGUGUCACUUUUGUGACAAGCAGUGUUACUGGGCAACCACAGCAAGUCACAGUAAUGGGAAAAUCACGGAUCAUGUUGCCAGCACAGCAGAUUGCUGUGGUUACCAAUGGAGUGAGUGGAGAAGUUACUAGAGAAGAGAAGUACCUAAUGCCAAACAGCACUACCACCCUUGUGAGUAUAGCUGAGGAACGCUCUUUGUCCCCAGCUACUUUUACGCCAGCUCCUGUCAUUGUGCAGGCUGCAUACUCUAAUUACAGUAACUCAUACGUCACAACUACCACCUCAGCUGAACAAUCUCCCCAGCAAACAACUGUUAAGAGGGAACUUGAGGUGGUUGAGGAGGCUGACACAACACUAGAAGAAGAAAGUAAAAAGAAGAUGAGGAUUGAGAACAGUCAAGAUGUCUCAGGAGAUAAAUGAUGAAUGUUUGAGACGUUUGUGUGGUGAAGAACAGCAUGUUCUAGUCCACUUCAUACGGUACCAAGUGUAGUUCUCAUUUAAUAGUGAACACUGUUAUCAUGACUGACUGUUACAUCAAUUUUAAAUCCUUUCUUAACUCAGUUUAUUUUUAAAUGUCAGCAGUUGUUCCUUCCCUGUCCUAUCCUUCCCUCUUCAUUCAUUUUAUACCUAGUUUAUUAGGAUUGUGUGACAUCAAUAGUGUAAACAGUGGAUUAAUUGUCACAAAGUACAAGGAGUUUAAUUUUUGUAGCAGAAACCUGUUAUUGGCCGCAGGUGAGGCCAAUGUUAUUAUGAAUCAGUAUUUUGCUUGUUUGUGUUAUACAAGGAAAAGAGGUACUGGUAAAGGCUAGCACAGAAUUCUUUACCUUCUUUGGUUCCUGUUCUUAAGUAAAAGUUUUAAGUUGCAACUCAGAGUCACUUCAUUGAUUAUGAAGAAAUCCUUAUUGUACUUGUAUUUCCAGGAACAAAAUGCAAGUAACACCAGUACAAAUCUGAAUGAAUCCUACAGUAAUUUUUUAGUUCUUUUUUGAAAAUGUGAGUGCAGUGGGUAUAUUUGACUUUUCUUGUAACAGAAAAUGAAAUGUCUGAUGUUUUUCAUGCGAAUAGUUUACACUAUAAAAAUAUUAUAAUCUUAAAUAUAAAAAAAACUUAUCACUGAGAACAAAACGCCAUGAUAAAAUGCUUUUUGGUAUGAAGUAAACACCUGAAGCAUUCACAAGUGCUGAAAAAACCUUGCCUUAAAAUAUUUAAUCAUUCAAAAUGAAAUUCAGCAGAAUAUUCAAUCCAAGACUCAACUGUGAAUGAACUUGGGCAUUACAUGUUAGAAUAAUGUGAUCGUUGGAACUAGUUUUAACUUACGGUAAGGACGUAGAGUAAAAAUUCUCAACUAAUGAUCAUAAAAUUAUUUAGUUGCAGUUAGUUUUGAGUGAAUUUUAUACGAGACACGUUUCAGUGAUUUUCAUUGAACUGAAAUAGUUCAGCAUCCAUGUGAGAGCUUUUAGUUAUACUUAUUUUUCAAUUUAAAGUUUCUGUUACAGAAAUUUCUCAAUCGUUAUGCAAAUAUGAACUACAGCAAGAACUGUAGACAGUAAAAAGUAUCCAGAAAUAAAACUAAAAACAGUCGGCAGUGCUGAGAAGAUUGCUUUGAAGACUCAUUGCUGUACACACCAUAUCCUAACAAAUGUAUUGUGCCCCUACUCUAUUAUGAUGUAGUCAAGUUAUUCAGCAAACAUAGUGCAUGAGGAAAACUGUGAAAUAGCUUGGCAUUUUUGGUACUCCCAAACUUUCCCAAAGCGGCAAGUUGUGAUUUGUGACUAGUGACAAAGGGCAGGCUUAUGUUAUGGGACGAUUGUGGUGCUAUCAAGACAACACACAAAGCUCUUCUGCGGCCACUGUCUGGAGGUUUCCAACAAAGUCUGAGCUGAAUGUCAUCUGUUUUUCUGAUUCAGACACUAGAGAUUUUGUAUACAAGUGUGCGUGAAUCAUACCACACUCUGCCUCAUAGCAGCUUCCAUAUCAACACAUAUUAGUGGUGAACGAUUAAAUUGUUUGGUGUUGAAGUUAUUGCAAAAAGGUCUUCAUCCAUCUCUGAAACUGAUAUUAACUACUACAGUAAAAAAGGAGAAAGGUAUUCGUUGUCGAGAAACAUACAGCUGUGAAAUUUAGAAAAGCAAACGACUUUGUGGUGACAAGUAUAAGAGUAUUAGGACAGGUGUAACAACACUGUGUAAGACAAAGAAUUGCGAUGUUUGCUGUUGUAAAAAUAUAUAUACUGAAGUUUAGAUGAGAAGGAACUUUGCUUGAUGUACGUCCAAAAAAAUCAAGCACACACAUUCUCACUGGGCCUGAUUGAUCAAAUAUCACCAUUAUGGAAGCAAUCACAAAUGAAGCAUCAGUCAAGUGAUAUAGCAUUUUUGUUUAUCAUUUAUUGAAAGGCACUGAAUAAUAGGAGCAAGCAUGGCCAUUGCAAUACUGAAUGGCAUAUGUGCUUUUAUUGAUGAACACAUUAAUGAAGACAGGAUUCAUUAUUACUCAGAUCUCUGCUGAAAGUAUCCUGGAUUUUAAGAACUGGUGACCUCUGUUUGGGGUGGGAUGGGUGGAGGGUGCGAAGUUCCUGGAAAAGUCCUUCACUAUCCAAGUACAGGCCGUUAGAACACUUCUUACCUAAGGUUAUUUAACCACAGCUGAAUUUGGCGUACAUUGGAAAAAAUCUAAUACCAGACAGGAAGAUCCAGGUUGUACAUGACAUAGUUACUUGCAUUCCAUAUGAGUAGUCUGUUUUAUGAGAAGGUACUGAUGAGGCCAAAAACAGUGAAAGUGAAGGACAGUAAUUAUAUUUAAAAUAAAUUUCAUAGAUAAUGGUUUCAAAACCUUUGAAUAGUAUAGACAUUUCCUGUAAAUGUUGUAUUAUGAAAGUUUUAUGAAAAUAUAACUAUAUCUGAUGUAAUAAGAAGUUUUAAUGCCUAAUACAUAAUCAGUUUGAAGAAGGAAACAAAUCCUCAGUCUUUAAUUUGCUGAUGUAUCUUUCUGGACAAAACAUUUCAUCUUUCCAUGCCACUGAGAUGGCUGGUUAAUGUAAACAAUCUUGUAUAAUUUUUUGGUUAAGACUAAAUUACAAAUACGAACAGGAAAAGGUUUUUUGUUUUUCCUACAGAUGGGGUUUUUGGAUUUGUUACCUCUUCAAACUACCGAUUCAGUUCCGAUUGUAAUAUUGUUGCUGUCAGUUGGGUCAGUGCCAUAACUCUUCUCAAGGAGUGGACACAAAUAAUAAACUGUCAUAUGUAGAAGUUCUAAGGAAAAGUAUAUGGCAGUUUCAGUAUUAUAUUGAGGACAUUAAAAAGAAAAAUUUCUCAAGAAUCUUCACAUGUCUAAAAGAAGGAACAAUAGUUUCCUAUGUCACUAAAAAUAAGGAAAAGUACUUCUGCCAUAUAUAUUUCCAAUAUCUUUUCUUCAAGUAUUGUGUAUUUUUAUGCCCUUGUGGACUUGUAUCAGUGUUUUUUUUAAAGUAAAGAAGAUCUCUGAAAACUGUCAGUGAUAGACAAAAAAUACAUAAUAUUGACUGAAGAUACUUAAAUUGAAAUAGCUUUUAAAUUUUAUUUUUUGUGUUAUUUGGAAGUUUGGAAUAAAUAUCUUCUAAAAAGUU